CUUGGUGUUGUUUAAUCUGCCUUUGCUUCAUAUGCCUUCUUCCUUCAGCUGCACUUCCUUACCCUUUCUCUCACAUUUGCCUCUGGAACUCAUGGCCAGUUUGCUCACUGUGGUGGUGGUAACACUGCUCUGUGUUGGGAGCGGAGGGGGUGGUGCCAUAGCACAAGCGGUGCAGCACCAUGUGGUAGGUGAUGACCUUGGCUGGGAUCUUUCUUCCAAUUUGGCUGCUUGGUCCAAGGAUAGGAUCUUUAGGGUCGGAGAUGAGAUUUGGUUUGCGUAUGCAGCAGCCGAAGAGAGAAUCCUCGAGCUACGGAGCAGCGACAAGCUCGAGGAAUGCGAUCUCGACGACCCCAUCGGCAUGUACACCAGCGGCGUCGAUAAGGUGAGCCUCGACGGAGAAGGGGCGCGCUAUUUCGCCAGCUCUACUCCAGAGAACUGCAAAAACGGGCUCAAGCUACGCGUGCGUGUAGUGCCUCGGGCGACAAACGACGAGCAUACAAGGUUUGCAGCAGUGAGUGCGGAGGCGGCGGCGGGGCCGGUGCCGUCCGCCUCGGCUCGUCUCAAGGCGCCUCAGCUCUUGUGGAUUGCCUUCGUGAUUGCUGUCGCCAUGUGGUUUUAGCUUUGCGUAGUAUUUACUGUCAUCUGAACUUUGUCCAACUUUAGUUAGUGCUGGUUAAGUCAACGUUGAUUAGAGUUAAGUUAUUAGAUUAAAUUGAUAUCUGGUAUCAUA